GAUGAACGCUGGCGGCGUGCCUAAUACAUGCAAGUCGAGCGAACGGACGAGAAGCUUGCUUCUCUGAUGUUAGCGGCGGACGGGUGAGUAACACGUGGAUAACCUACCUAUAAGACUGGGAUAACUUCGGGAAACCGGAGCUAAUACCGGAUAAUAUUUUGAACCGCAUGGUUCAAAAGUGAAAGACGGUCUUGCUGUCACUUAUAGAUGGAUCCGCGCUGCAUUAGCUAGUUGGUAAGGUAACGGCUUACCAAGGCAACGAUGCAUAGCCGACCUGAGAGGGUGAGCGGCCACACGGGAGCUGAGGCACGGUCGAGACUCCUACGGGAGGCCGCAGUAGGGAAUCUUCCGCAAUGGGCGAAAGCCGGACGGAGCACCGCCGCGUGAGUGAUGAAGGUCUUCGGAUCGUAAAACUCUGUUAUUAGGGAAAAACAUAUGUGUAAGUAACAGGGCACAUCUUGACGGUACCUAAUCAGAAAGCCACGGCUAACUACGUG
rnacentral:rRNA from 1 species